rnacentral:rRNA from 1 species
UACGAAGGGGGCUAGCGUUGCUCGGAAUCACUGGGCGUAAAGGGUGCGUAGGCGGGUCUUUAAGUCAGGGGUGAAAUCCUGGAGCUCAACUCCAGAACUGCCUUUGAUACUGAGGAUCUUGAGUUCGGGAGAGGUGAGUGGAACUGCGAGUGUAGAGGUGAAAUUCGUAGAUAUUCGCAAGAACACCAGUGGCGAAGGCGGCUCACUGGCCCGAUACUGACACUGAGGCACGAAGGCCAGGGGAGCAAACGGG